rnacentral:rRNA from 1 species
GUCCCGGCCCUAAAACUGUGCGCAUUUGCUGUGAGCGGAAUCGACCCCGCUCGUGGCGGAGCUAACGCGUUAAAUGCGCCGCCUGGGGAGUACGGCCGCAAGGUUAAAACUCAAAGAAAUUGACGGGGCCUGCACAAGCGGUGGAGUAUGUGGCUUAAUUCGAUGCAACGCGAAGAACCUUACCUGGCCUUGACAUGCAGAUAGUAGAAGCCUGAAAGGGUGACGAUUCCGCAAGGAAAGUCUGCACAGGUGCUGCAUGGCUGUCGU